GGGGGGGGGUUUGUGAAAAGAUUAUGAAUGCGGAUAAACUAAAUCAAAACAUGGAUACAAACAGUAAUGUGAAAACAACAAUGCGAAACGAAAUGUAAACAGGAAUACAAAGACGGAACCAAAUACUGAAUAAAAACGGUUGGUCAUUAACUCAAGUACUAUGCUUCUAUCCUAGAUUAACAACAAGUACACACUACUCUAAUCCAAAUCCAACACGAAUCACCCAACUAAGCGAAGGCUAAUCCGAUCUUCAAAAAUGCAAACUAAGCGAAUGCAAUGCUCAAUUCCA
rnacentral:lncRNA from 1 species